rnacentral:rRNA from 1 species
AUUGAACGCUGGCGGCAUGCCUAACACAUGCAAGUCGAACGAGUGGCGGACGGGUGAGUAAUGUAUUGGAACCUGCCUAAUAGAGGGGGAUAACUACUGGAAACUGUGGCUAAUACCGCAUACUAUCGUAUCAACCCAUAUGGGAUUAGCUAGUUGGUGGGGUAAAGGCUCACCAAGGCGACGAUCUCUAGCUGGUCUGAGAGGACGAUCGGCCACACUGGUACUGAGACACGGCCCAGACUCCUACGUGAGGGAGCAGUGGGGAAUAUUGGGCAAUGGGCGCAAGCCUGAUCCAGCCAUGCCGCGUGUAUGAAGAAGGCCUUCGGGUUGUAAAGUACUUUCAGUAGAGAGGCGGUACCUACAGAAUAAGCACCGGCUAACUCCGUGCCAGCAGCCGCGGUAAUUC